rnacentral:rRNA from 1 species
AUGAACGCUGGCGGCGUGUCUAAUACAUGCAAGUCGAGCGAACAGACGAGGAGCUUGCUCCUCUGACGUUAGCGGCGGACGGGUGAGUAACACGUGGAUAACCUACCUAUAAGACUGGGAUAACUUCGGGAAACCGGAGCUAAUACCGGAUAAUAUAUUGAACCGCAUGGUUCAAUAGUGAAAGACGGUUUUGCUGUCACUUAUAGAUGGAUCCGCGCCGCAUUAGCUAGUUGGUAAGGUAACGGCUUACCAAGGCAACGAUGCGUAGCCGACCUGAGAGGGUGAUCGGCCACACUGGAACUGAGACACGGUCCAGACUCCUACGGGAGGCAGCAGUAGGGAAUCUUCCGCAAUGGGCGAAAGCCUGACGGAGCAACGCCGCGUGAGUGAUGAAGGUCUUCGGAUCGUAAAACUCUGUUAUUAGGGAAGAACAAAUGUGUAAGUAACUAUGCACGUCUUGACGGUACCUAAUCAGAAAGCCACGGCUAACUACGUG